CUUAGUGUAGAGGGCCGCCCUGGCCCACCUCCUGCCUCCAGAGUUUCUCCAGGUGAGAAGUGGACCGUCACAGGCAUAUGCGAAGCCUUGCUGAAACCCCUCUGUGGCUUCCUACGGCCAGCGCCUGUGACUCUCAUCUUGAGGGUUUUCUCUGGUGUUGAUAGUGUGGCUGCAUGUGUUAGGGGAGUUGACACCCUGGAGCAGCCCUCAACCGAAGAUGGACAGGAGUUGGUGGGCAAAGGAUGGGCAGGGCCAGGCCAAGAAGUCAUGAACAGAGCCCUGGGGAGACAGGGAUGAACAAGACAGAUGGGCCUCCUGCUCUCGUCGAGCUUGCAGACCAAUGAGAGUAGACAGCAACAGACAGGAGAGGCGGCGAGCUGGAGGUGACGUCUGCUCCUCACCCAAGAGCCAUCUGCUCACGAAUGCAAACAGCCCGUCUGUCAGGCAAGGCGAGAAAAAAUGACUGGGGCAGCC
rnacentral:lncRNA from 1 species